CGACUGCUAAUACCGAAUGUGUCGCAAGAUGAAAGAUUUAUUGCCUAGAGAUGAGCUCGCGUCUGAUUAGCUAGUUGGUGGGGUAAAAGCCUACCAAGGCGACGAUCAGUAGCUGGUCUGAGAGGAUGAUCAGCCACACUGGGACUGAGACACGGCCCAGACUCCUACGGGAGGCAGCAGUGGGGAAUUUUCCGCAAUGGGCGAAAGCCUGACGGAGCAACGUCGCGUGAGGGAGGAAGGCUCUUGGGUUGUAAACCUCUUUUCUCAAGGAAGAUAAUGACGGUACUUGAGGAAUCAGCAUCGGCUAACUCCGUGCCAGCAGCCGCGGUAAUACGGAGGAUGCAAGCGUUAUCCGGAAUAAUUGGGCGUAAAGCGUUCGUAGGUGGUUUUGUAAGUCUGCUGUUAAAGCGUGUAGCUCAACUACAUAUAGGCAGUGGAAACUACAAAACUUGAGUGCGUUCGGGGUAGAGGGAAUUCCUGGUGUAGCGGUGAAAUGCGUAGAGAUCAGGAAGAACACCGGUGGCGAAGGCGCUCUACUAGGCCGCAACUGACACUGAGGGACGAAAGCUAGGGGAGCG
rnacentral:rRNA from 1 species